CCUACGGGAGGCAGCAGUGGGGGAUAUUGCACAAUGGGCGAAACCCUGAUGCAGCGACGCCGCGUGUAGGAAGACGGUCCUCUGGAUUGUAAACUACUGUCCCCAGGGACGAAGAUGACGGUACCUGUGGAGGAAGCUCCGGCUAACUACGUGCCAGCAGCCGCGGUAAUACGUGGGGAGCGAGCGUUGUCCGGAAUUACGGGGUGAAAAGGGAGCGUAGGCGGGGAUGCAAGUUGGGUGGUAAACCUACCGGCUCAACUGGUAGUCGCACUCAAAACUGCAGCUCUUGAGUGAAGUAGAGGCAGGCGGAAUUCCUGGUGUAGCGGUGAAAUGCGUAGAUAUUAGGAGGAACACCAGUGGCGAAGGCGGCCUGCUGGGCUUUUACUGACGCUGAGGCUCGAAAGUGUGGGGAGCAAACAGGAUUAGAUACCCUUGUAGUC
rnacentral:rRNA from 1 species